GACGUAGGGCGCGAGCGUUGUCCGGAUUUAUUGGGCGUAAAGAGCUCGUAGGCGGCUUGUUGCGUCAGCUGUGAAAGCCCAUGGCUUAACUGUGGGUUGGCAGCUGAUACGGGCAGGCUAGAGUUCGGUAGGGGAGACUGGAAUUCCUGGUGUAGCGGUGGAAUGCGCAGAUAUCAGGAGGAACACCAAUGGCGAAGGCAGAUCUCUGGGCCGUAACUGACGCUGAGGAGCGAAAGCAUGGGGAGCGAACAGG
rnacentral:rRNA from 1 species